rnacentral:rRNA from 1 species
AAUAGAUACCCAGGUAGUCCACGCCGUAAACGAUGAGUGCUAAGUGUUAGGGGGUUUCCGCCCCUUAGUGCUGCAGCUAACGCAUUAAGCACUCCGCCUGGGGAGUACGGUCGCAAGACUGAAACUCAAAGGAAUUGACGGGGGCCCGCACAAGCGGUGGAGCAUGUGGUUUAAUUCGAAGCAACGCGAAGAACCUUACCAGGUCUUGACAUCCCAUUGACCACUAUGGAGACAUAGUUUUCCCUUCGGGGACAACGGUGACAGGUGGUGCAUGGUUGUCGUCAGCUCGUGUCGUGAGAUGUUGGGUUAAGUCCCGCAACGAGCGCAACCCUUGUUCUUAGUUGCCAUCAUUUAGUUGGGCACUCUAAGGAGACUGCCGGUGACAAACCGGAGGAAGGUGGGGAUGACGUCAAAUCAUCAUGCCCCUUAUGACCUGGGCUACACACGUGCUACAAUGGACGGUACAAACGGUUGCCAACCCGCGAGGGGGAGCUAAUCCGAUAAAACCGUUCUCAGUUCGGAUUGUAGGCUGCAACUGCCCACA